rnacentral:lncRNA from 1 species
AGGUCCGUGACUGAGGGCACCCUUGUGGGAUGCUGAGUGUAGCCAUCAGGAAGCUGGGUCCCAGCCAACUCAGCCUGGGCUCUGCCGUUCUCCAGUGGUCAGAUAAGAAAGAGCGGUGUGGUCCUCUAAGGGAGUGAGCGAGCCCCUCCCUCCCCACUGCUGAUAUAACAGCAUGAAAUUAAACCUAUUCCAGUCUGUGACAUCUGAUCCCUUUGACAUGACAUAGUACAACCUGUAGAGCCAGAGGUGGGGGCCAGGAAGCCCUGUUCUAGUCUCUCUGCACAACCUUGAGCCAUCUCAUCAUCUGCACAUCUGCCUGAACCUCAGUCUCCCACUCUGGACGUUGUCGGGGUGAUGGAGCAAGCAUUCAGUUAUUCUCUGCUGGAUUCUGAUGUGGUCUAAAGUCCACACUUUGUUGUGAAACACCGCAAUCUGUGAUGUACAGAACCUAUUACUGCGGCCACCCAGGAAUGCUGGGGGCAGGCCUUUUGAGAAGGUGAAUCAGCGUGUGUUAGCUCAGGGCAGAGGGCCUGGCGGUGAGACGUGAGAACAGCCAAUGUCAUGGCGGUGGGGGAGUGGACGUGAGCCAUCUGGGGCCCAGCAAACAGCAUGUUGAAAAAAACGAGGAACUCAAAGGCAGAUGAGCCUACCACGCUGGGAACAGUUGGGAGUACAUUGCUCAAGGUGUGUGGAGUGCAUGGAACAUGUCUGUGUGUUAGAUGGCUAUAUGUAUAUGUGGUGUGUGAUAUAUGUGUAUGUAUGUGUGUUGUAUGUAUAUGUGUAUAUGUGUAUAUAUAUAGUACAUGUGUGUGAUAUAUGUGUAUGUGUGUGUGAUAUAUGUGUAUGUAUGUGUGUUGUAUGUAUAUGUGUAUAUGUAUAUGAUCAUUAUAUAUGUGUGUGUGGUAUAUAUGUAUAGGGCGGUGUGUGUAUGUGUAUGUGUGUGUGUGUGUGUGUGUGUGUGUGUGUGUUCACCUAUGUGUACAAAUGUAGAGGUCAGAAGUCAAACAUUGGGUGUCUCCUUCUAUGGAUGAAGCCCCGGCCAGUUUUAUGUCACUGCUGGUGUGAAGCAGUGAACAGUGACCCAGCAUGCAUCCAGGUGGCGGGACAGAGUCAGACUCUCCAGGGCAGAGAGACUCUAAAACUGACGGCCAGGUCUUGCUCAGACUACGGGCCUGAGGGAAGAUCCAAGACUGAAACAGGUAGAUAACCUUUCUUUAGUUUUUUUUUUUUAAUUAUUUGUUGUUUGUUUACACAUGUGUGUGUGUGGGGGGGGGGGGGCGUGUGUGUCACAAUAAGCAUGUGCCAGUCACAAAUCGGAGGACAACGUUGUGACUCAUUUGUGUUCUACCAUGUAGGUGCCGGAGAUUACAUCCAGGUUGCUGGUCUUGGUGGUGAACAAUACCCUUGCUUACCCCCAAGCCUUCUCACUAACCCUGACGCUCUUUAUACAGGGCUUGGAAUGGAGGGGGUGGAGUUGAGGAGAUCACAGAGGACCUAGGAGUGUGUGUAUCGGAGAGAGAUAGGAAACCACUGACCGUUCAGCACACAUUCAGAAUUACUGCCUGUCCCAGGGAGGGACCCACAGCUCCGGCGCUCCGUUCAGCAUCUGGAAGAGCAUAGCUCGCUGUGAGCGGCCGCCCCAGAAGACUGUAUCCCACCCAGCCAGCUCUCCUGCCUGCUUGCCUCUGCCCCACACCAGGACACUUCAUACUGUCAGAACCACUGGGUGUGUGAGCUUGUGAGAGGGUGUGUGGGCACACAUGUCCCUGUGUGGGGUGUGGAGGUCAGAGGGCAACUUGGAGGAAUUGGUUCUCUCCUUCCACCACUGGGGCCCAGGAAUCAAGCCGAGGUUCCCAGACGUGGUAGCAGCCUCCCUUACCUGUUAAACCAGUGCUUCCCAGACUUCCUAAUGCUGUGACCUCAUGCUGUGCUGACCCCCGCCCAUGACAUUAUCUCUGUUGGUAUUUUAUAACUGUAAUUUUGCUACUAUUAUGAAUCACAAUGUAAAUGUCUGUUUUCUGAU